GCACAUUGUCUCAAUGAAGUCAUUUUGAAGUCUCUUAAAGCAGAUGGUACACUCUAAGACCUUCUCAUCAACAUGUUCCAGAAACUGAUUCAACUUACUGGUAGCCAUCUUAAAUUGAUAUCCUUUGAAAUUUAAAUAAUAGGAUCUGAUAGUCUUUAAGAGGAUCAUACAACAAGCAGAGUACUGCAGAGUAGAACAGAACAAGAGAACACAGAUGAGGAGGAGGCGGAGCUUAGUAUUUACUGUGUCAUUUGGUUCGCCGAGAACCAUCAGACAUUUUCAAAUAUGUUUAAGAAAGGUAUGAUCAAAUAU